GGCGUCAGAAGUGGCAAAUCAAGAAGGUGGAGAUGGAGCUGAUUGCCGCUCGCAACUUCCUGCUGCCGCGGCUGGACGGCGUGGCCCGCUACCGCUGGCUCGGGCUGGGCGAUCGUUUGAUCGAUCCCAAUGGUGUAGGCAUCGACGGGAACAAUCCGAGCAUCGUGGGCACCGACGCCUAUAGCACGCUCACCGACGGCAACUUCCAGGAAUGGGACCUGGGCUUGCAGGGCAGCAUGACGCUCGGCUUCCGCCGCGAGUUGGCCGGUGUGCGACACACUCAGUUGCGGCUGGCACGCGAACGAGCCGUGCUGCAAGACCAGGAGCUGGAAGUCUCCCACUUGCUCACGGAGUCCAUCCGCAACUUGCACAGCAACUUCGUGAUCACCGAGACGCUGUUCAACCGGGGCAUCGCUGCCCGCAACGAAGUGAAUGCGGCCCAGGCGAUCUUCGAGGAAGGGGCCGAACUGCAGCAGCAAGGCGUCUCGAUUCUGGACCGCCUGCUGGACGCCCAACGGCGGCGGGCGGAGGCGGAGCGCGAUUACUUCCGCACGCUGGUGCAGUACGCCAAGAGCAUUACGGAGGUGCAUUUCCGCAAGGGGUCGAUCCUGGAAUACAACAACGUCUACCUGGCCGAAGGCCCCUGGCCGUGCAAGGCCUACACGGACGCCUACGACCGCGCUCGCGAGCGAGACGCUGGCCACUACCUGAACUACGGCUACUCGCGGCCAAGCGUCAUCAGCCGCGGACCGUAUGACCAGUACGGCGGACAGAUCUUCGGCUACGACGCCAACCAGGCCCCCACUCCGGCAGAGCAGGUGCCGCUGCCGGCCGACGCAGAUGGGAAGGAAGACACGUCGCCGAGCGACCAGCCGAUGCGGAUGCCCGAGCCGAGCGUGCUGCAACCCAAUCCGGGUCCCCGCUUGGGAUUCGAUGAGGGGUCGCCGGCCCAGGUCGAGACGAUCGUCGAUCCAACGCCGGUGAUCAUGCAACCGUCCGAGGGACCGAAGACGCGGCCAGCCGGAUUUCGGCCGCCCCGCCCGAUCCCACGCUGAGGAACGCCCGCGGAAUAGGCCGUAGCCGAACUCGCCAGAGUUCGGGGGCCCGAAGUCUAGGCGACUUCGGCUACGCGAGUAAGACAGGGGCAAGGAAGCCCGGCGGUUGCCACGUGCAGCCGCCGGGCUUUUGUUAUGUUGGGCGGACGGCGCGGGCGAUCUUCUCGCCCAUGAGCUCGUUCUUGUGGUCAGGAACAACGGCGGGCAUUCCCGCCAGGCAACCGGCAUCAUGAACACGUCCGUCAAAUGGGCCGCGGAGUUGGCGCACGUGCG
rnacentral:misc_RNA from 1 species